AUGGCCUCGGAAGAUGCCUGUGCUGUGGGAUGAGGUAGUAGGUUGUAUAGUUUUAGGGUCAUACCCGCAACUGGGAGAUAACUAUACAAUCUACUGUCUUUCCUAAAGCAGCAGAAAAUCAACAGUGGAAGC
rnacentral:pre_miRNA from 10 species